rnacentral:tRNA from 1 species
GGGGAUUUGGCUCAGUGGUAGAGCAUUUGCCUAGCAAGCGCAAGGCCCUGGGUUCGGUCCCCAGCUCCA